AUUUACUGGGCGUAAAGCGCGCGUAGGCGGCUAAUUAAGUCAAAUGUGAAAUCCCCGAGCUUAACUUGGGAAUUGCAUUCGAUACUGGUUAGCUAGAGUGUGGGAGAGGAUGGUAGAAUUCCAGGUGUAGCGGUGAAAUGCGUAGAGAUCUGGAGGAAUACCGAUGGCGAAGGCAGCCAUCUGGCCUAACACUGACGCUGAGGUGCGAAAGCAUGGGGAGCAAACAGGAUUAGAUACCCUGGUAGUCCAUGCCGUAAACGAUGUCUACUAGCCGUUGGGGCCUUUGAGGCUUUAGUGGCGCAGCUAACGCGAUAAGUAGACCGCCUGGGGAGUACGGUCGCAAGACUAAAACUCAAAUGAAUUGACGGGGGCCCGCACAAGCGGUGGAGCAUGUGGUUUAAUUCGAUGCAACGCGAAGAACCUUACCUGGCCUUGACAUAGUAAGAACUUUCCAGAGAUGGAUUGGUGCCUUCGGGAACUUACAUACAGGUGCUGCAUGGCUGUCGUCAGCUCGUGUCGUGAGAUGUUGGGUUAAGUCCCGCAACGAGCGCAACCCUUUUCCUUAUUUGCCAGCGAGUAAUGGCGGGAACUUUAAGGAUACUGCCAGUGACAAACUGGAAGAA
rnacentral:rRNA from 1 species